AUUGAACGCUGGCGGCAGGCUUAACACAUGCAAGUCGAGCGGUAGAAAGUAGCUUGCUACUUUUGAGAGCGGCGGACGGGUGAGUAAUGCGUGGGAAUCUACCUGGGUAGUGGGGGACAACAGUUGGAAACGACUGUUAAUACCGCAUACGCCCUACGGGGGAAAGCGGGGGAUCUUCGGACCUCGUGCUAUCAGAUGAGCCCGCGUGAGAUUAGCUAGUUGGUGGGGUAAAGGCCUACCAAGGCGACGAUCUCUAGCUGGUCUGAGAGGAUGAUCAGCCACACUGGGACUGAGACACGGCCCAGACUCCUACGGGAGGCAGCAGUGGGGAAUAUUGGACAAUGGGCGCAAGCCUGAUCCAGCCAUGCCGCGUGUGUGAGAAGGCCUCGGGUGUAAAGCACUUUCAGCGAGGAGGAAAGGUUGUAGCUUAAUACGCUGCAGCUGUGACGUUACUCGCAGAAGAAGCACCGGCUAACUCCGUG
rnacentral:rRNA from 1 species